rnacentral:lncRNA from 1 species
CCGUCAAUCUCUCCGUCCCCCUGAAUCACCAACCAAAGGUAACGGACGCAGUCCUUCUUGGCGAUGGCCUGAGAGCCAAUCAUCACGUCCCUCCCUACUUCACUCGGAUCGGCGCUAAACUUGCAUUCCAGGUAUUUUGUCUUAGAUCUGCUUAUUUUGAAACCAUUAGACUCGAGAGUCUGCCGCCAUACCUCUAACCUCU